rnacentral:rRNA from 1 species
CGGGAAACUGGGGAUAAUACCCUAUAGACUAUGGUUGCUGGAAUGCUUCGUAGCUGAAAGGUCCGCCGCCGAAGGAUGGGUCUGCGGCCGAUUAGGUCGUUGUUGGGGUAACGGCCCAACAAGCCUGUAAUCGGUACGGGUUGUGGGAGCAAGAGCCCGGAGAUGGAUUCUGAGACAAGAAUCCAGGCCCUACGGGGCGCAGCAGGCGCGAAAACUUUACAAUGCGGGAAACCGUGAUAAGGGAACCCCGAGUGCCCGUAGAAUCGGGCUGUCCAUCAGUGUAAAAAGCUGGUGAAGAAAGGGCCGGGCAAGACCGGUGCCAGCCGCCGCGGUAACA